AUUGAACGCUGAAGGCAGGAUUAAGACACGCAAGACGAGCGAGCGGCGGACGGGUGAGUAAUGUAUGGGAAACUGCCUGUUGGAGGGGGAUAACUAAUGGAAACGGUAGCUAAUACCGCAUACCAUCAGAUGUGCCCAGAUGGGAUUAGCUAGUAGGUGGGGUAAUGGAUCACCUAGGCGACGAUCCCUAGCUGGUCUGAGAGGAUGACCAGCCACACUGGAACUGUGACACGGUCCAGACUCCUACGGGAGGCAGCAGUGGGGAAUAUUGCACAAUGGGCUCAAGCCUGAUGCAGCCAUGCCGCGUGUUUUAAGCAGGCCUUCGGGUUGGAAAGCUCUGUCGGCUAUAAGACGUUACUCGCACAAGAAGCACCUGGUAACUCCGUGGCAGCAGCCGCGGUAAUUC
rnacentral:rRNA from 1 species